rnacentral:rRNA from 1 species
UACGAAGGGGGCUAGCGUUGCUCGGAAUUACUGGGCGUAAAGGGAGCGUAGGCGGACAUUUAAGUCAGGGGUGAAAUCCCGGAGCUCAACUCCGGAACUGCCCUUGAUACUGGAUGUCUUGAGUGUGAGAGAGGUAUGUGGAACUCCGAGUGUAGAGGUGAAAUUCGUAGAUAUUCGGAAGAACACCAGUGGCGAAGGCGACAUACUGGCUCAUUACUGACGCUGAGGCUCGAAAGCGUGGGGAGCAAACAGGAUUAGAAACCCGGGUAGUCC